GACGAACGCUGGCGGCGUGCUUAACACAUGCAAGUCGAACGCUGAAGCUCAGCUUUUGUUGGGUGGAUGAGUGGCGAACGGGUGAGUAACACGUGAGUAACCUGCCCCCUUCUUUGGGAUAACGCCCGGAAACGGGUGCUAAUACUGGAUAUUCACUGGUCUUCGCAUGGGGGUUGGUGGAAAGGGUUUUUCUGGUGGGGGAUGGGCUCGCGGCCUAUCAGCUUGUUGGUGGGGUGAUGGCCUACCAAGGCUUUGACGGGUAGCCGGCCUGAGAGGGUGACCGGUCACAUUGGGACUGAGAUACGGCCCAGACUCCUACGGGAGGCAGCAGUGGGGAAUAUUGCACAAUGGGCGCAAGCCUGAUGCAGCGACGCCGCGUGAGGGAUGGAGGCCUUCGGGUUGUGAACCUCUUUCGCUCAUGGUCAAGCCGCAACAAUGGUUGUGGUGAGGGUAGUGGGUAAAGAAGCGGCGGCUAACUACGU
rnacentral:rRNA from 1 species